rnacentral:ncRNA from 1 species
CACGGACAGGAUUGACAGAUUGAGAGCUCUUUCUUGAUUCCGUGGGUGGUGGUGCAUGGCUGUUCUCAGUUGGUGGAGCAGCUGUGUGGUGUUUG